rnacentral:tRNA from 1 species
GGGAAAGUAGCUCAGUGGUAGAGUGCUUGCCUUGCAUGCAUGAGGCCCUGGAUUCCAUUCCUC